UGGGGAAUAUUGCACAAUGGGCGCAAGCCUGAUGCAGCCAUGCCGCGUGUAUGAAGAAGGCCUUCGGGUUGUAAAGUACUUUCAGCGGGGAGGAAGGGAGUAAAGUUAAUACCUUUGCUCAUUGACGUUACCCGCAGAAGAAGCACCGGCUAACUCCGUGCCAGCAGCCGCGGUAAUACGGAGGGUGCAAGCGUUAAUCGGAAUUACUGGGCGUAAAGCGCACGCAGGCGGUUUGUUAAGUCAGAUGUGAAAUCCCCGGGCUCAACCUGGGAACUGCAUUCGAAACUGGCAGGCUAGAGUCUUGUAGAGGGGGGUAGAAUUCCAGGUGUAGCGGUGAAAUGCGUAGAGAUCUGGAGGAAUACCGGUGGCGAAGGCGGCCCCCUGGACAAAGACUGACGCUCAGGUGCGAAGCGUGGGGAGCAAACAGG
rnacentral:rRNA from 1 species